CCUACGGGAGGCAGCAGUAAGGAAUAUUGGUCAAUGGACGAAAGUCUGAACCAGCCAUGCCGCGUGAAGGAUUAAGGCCCUCUGGGUUGUAAACUUCUUUUAUCUGGAACGAAAAAAGGGUAUUCUUACUCACUUGACGGUACCAGAGGAAUAAGCACCGGCUAACUCCGUGCCAGCAGCCGCGGUAAUACGGAGGGUGCAAGCGUUAUCCGGAUUUACUGGGUUUAAAGGGUGCGUAGGUGGGCUUGUAAGUCAGUGGUGAAAUCUCCGGGCUUAACCCGGAAACUGCCAUUGAUACUAUAGGUCUUGAAUUAUCUGGAGGUAAGCGGAAUAUGUCAUGUAGCGGUGAAAUGCUUAGAUAUGACAUAGAACACCAAUUGCGAAGGCAGCUUACUACGGAUAUAUUGACACUGAGGCACGAAAGCGUGGGGAUCAAACAGGAUUAGAUACCCUGGUAGUCCACGCCCUAAACGAUGGAUACUCGACAUCAGCGAUACACUGUUGGUGUCUGAGCGAAAGCAUUAAGUAUCCCACCUGGAAGUACGAUCGCAAGAUUGAAACUCAAAGGAAUUGACGGCGNGAGACGNGACGACGACGACGACGAGGGAGGAGG
rnacentral:rRNA from 1 species